rnacentral:misc_RNA from 1 species
UCAGCGGGUAUUCUCAUCUGAUCCGAGGCCAAACAAAUUUUAUUAUUUUAAGGCAGUAUACGGAAGAAUUCUCCCCCUUUCCAACAAUCCAUUUACUAAGUACGGAUGACUCAAUAAAAUUUUUGUCUUUCUUCGCACUUCGUAAAAUUAUCUUUACUGCAAUAGUGUUUGGAAUUCAGCAAAUGCCUAAAACAGUCGCAUUCUUCAUCAUCAAGCUGAAGCUCGGAGAUUGUAAUGGCGCUCGAACAGACGUAUCUCCUGGAAUAUCCAAGAGAUGCAAUGUGCGUUCAAAUAUUCAAUGACUCACUGUAUCUGCAAUUCGCAUUACAUUUCGCGUUUCGCUGCGUUCUUCAUCGUUGCUGGAGCCA